GAGCAAGGGCGCCUAUGAAAUGUGACGAAACUUGCAUUGAAGGUUGGCAAAAUCAAAACAAUUUCUGCGAUUCUCCGUGCCUAUCGAAUCUCUUGAUUUUGAAUACGGCCUCGAACAAAUCGCUACAUU